GAGCAAUGAUUUUAAAUGCCUUGUAAAGAACACUACGUUGCACCUGAGUAGCUUUUGCACCUCUCAAAAAGACUUGUAUGUUUCGAGCCUUGAAAACUCUUCCUGAAACUUGUUGAUUGCUGAAACUCAGUCUUUGAAGCCAACUACAACCUUAUUUGAACUGAACGAACUUAAUGCUUCUUGCUCAUGGUCCCUUGUGUACUAAGUCAUGGCUAUACACACUUGAUUUGUCACAUCUUUUAUGCCAAUCUUUUUUGACAAACUCUAGUGGUAGACCACUCCCAAAACCUUUCCCUCCUUUUAAGCUUUCAUUGUUUGAUGAGUGAGGCCUUUUUCGGAAAGUCUUACAUGUGCAUAAUGUUGAGAGUAUCGGGAACGACAAUGCUUGAUCUUAAUUCUUGCUAGAUUGGGCACUCUAUUGUCUAGCUAUAGGUGGGGGGUGAGUGUUGUGAUUAUGAUUUGGGAGAAAUGAAAAAGAAAAAGAAUAGACUCUUUGUGCUUAAGUGAAUUGUUUUAUUGGGAUAAGUAGAGAAGCCUCUAGCUCAAGUUUUGAAAGUCUUGGCCCCCAACCUAAAAAAAAAAACGAAAAAAAAUAGAGAAAAGAAAAAGAAAAAAAAGAAAAAGGGGCUAGCAAAGUUGUUAGGAGCUAAGAAAUAUUUUGAGGUUCUGAAAAAAUCCCUUGUAGAUUUCAAAGAGAAGAAGUUAAAGUUCUUAGGAUCUUUUGGUGAGAGAUGUGAGUUGGGUUUGACAUUUGAGAAUGAUUGUGUAAUUGUAUGUUUGGGAAAAGGGUAGAACAAUGGAGAUUGAGCAUUGUAUGCAUGAGUUGAUCCUUUUCUUAGAUAUAUUAUGUGCAAUGUCAGGGCUACUUGUUUCGAGAGUAAACCACCUUAAAGAUCAUAUGUUUUGAACCUCUUGAAUCACUUGAAUAAAAGCCUUCCCUUACCCAACCAAAUGACUUGGACCAACUGACCAUUUGCAAGAAUUCACCUGAUGUUUUGUGCUUAAUGAAUGUGAGAGUUGGUUGAUUUGAAUGUGUGGAUGCUUGAUGAUGAGUGUAAGAACAAAAAGAGUUAAGAUAGGCCUAGAGAAGCUAGAGUGUAAUAAGAGAGUGUGCUAGUUGUGUUUCUUUUGGCUAUGUGCUCCCACCUUCAACCUCUCUCCCUAUGAGUUCUAGAAAGUUCACUUGUGGACAAGUAAAAGAACAAGUUUGAGGGAGUUGAUAUCUUGCAUAUUUACAUUGUUUUAUCCAUUCAUCUAUGAGCAUUUUCAUCAUAUAGAUUAGGAUUUAGCCAUGUCUAGGUUGCAUUUUGCAUUCAUUGUCCUUAUUAGGUGCUGGAGUGUGCCAUGGAGUGAUUUGAGAUGUUUGGGAGCAUUGUGAUCCAAAAGGGGGUGAAAUAUGCGCAUGGAUGGAGCCUUUAGAGAAAUCUUCUGUUGCUAAGAUUUUGUGGAGACACAGCAAAUUGAGUUAGCUUUCUAAUGGAAGUGGUUUCAAGUCAUUUCGAUAUGUAAUGAAGGAGGUAUGAUCAAUUUACUAGAGGCAUAUCCAUCCUGGUCGAGCAUCGCAGAGUGACCUCUCAGAGCGACCUACCGAGGUCGCUCCCAGCCAGAGCGACCAGUCCAGAGCGACUACCUCAAGUCACUCCCAUCCAGAGCGACCAGCCAGAGCGACCAGCUCAAGUCACUCGCGUUUUGACGCGUCGAGACACAAAAAAACGCGUCGGGAGCGACCUCCUGGAGCGACUAUGCUAGGUCGCUCCGCGUGUUUUGCUUGGACGAUUUUUAUGUUAUUUCAGGGGCCUUUUGGUCAUUUUUUUUUGAUGUUUUACACUUUCUAAACCUAAGUUAAGUACUUGGUAAGCCAUGAGAGGCAAGAUAAUCUCUUUUCUAGAGAAGAACUAGUAAAAAAAAAAACCUCUUUUGAUUCAGAUUUCAUUGCUUUCAUCUUGUGUUCUUGUUGAUUUCUUAUCUAUUUCUCUACAUGGUUAAUCUGAAAUCCAAUAUGGGUUUAAGAGGAAUCAUGGAGAUUAGUGAGUAAUCACCUUUUGAAUUCAUGGGUUAGGGAGAUUAAGGGUGAUUAGGUUAGUUCUAGGUUGUUUUAGUGUAGAUCAUUCUUGUUCCUUGCUAGUAGAGUAUUCAUAAUGCAUCUUCUGAGUUGGCCACUCAAAAGUUGAUCAAUAGGAAUUUCCCACCCAAAAGAUGUUUGAUGAAAUGCCCGAGACAACUCUCCUAAGCUUUUAGUUUACUUUGCCAAAGACAUUUGUUGUUAAAGAUACUAAGAUAGCUAAUAGACUUGUUAGUAAUGAUUGCUUUCAUAUUAUUCAACCAAAGACAUUUGAUGUUUGAGAUAUGUUAGCAAAUGAGCAUUCAUCUAUACAUAGAGCUUGCUUAGAAUUGUGUCUAGGCUUAAGGUUGAUAGUUUGAUUGAUCAUUUGCCAUCUUUAGUUCGAUACUUGAUCACCCAAGGUCUAAUCCCUAUGCCCAUGAGUUCUCUUUUCCCUUAGUCAAGAAAGUUUCAUUCUGUUAUUGCUUUCUAGUAUUAGUAGUAGUUUAAAACUCAUCUAAAUCAUUGGUUGCACUUAGAUUAAGUGAGUACUUGCAUUCUCAGUGCUUUGAUAUCCCUCAGAACUGGUUCGACAAUCUUUUAUACUACAACAUUUGUCUUAGGAGCCUUGAAAACUCCUAACAUCAGAACACUUAAUAUUGAUUCAAAAGACAAAUACUAUAAAAGAUGAUAAAGAUUGUGUGUUUUCACUCUAAUGGUGAUUGCCUUAAGAGAGAAAACAAGAUCAGAAUUAAGAUACAAACUUAGAUAACUAGGGUUUUUACCUUAAAACAUUUAUAUAGGUCUUUCAGAAGUGGGUCAAUCGCAGUUUUAAUGAAACGCUGCGAUCUGAUAAAAUCGCGUUUAGAAACGCGCGUUUGCGUUUCAUCUUCUUCCUCAUCUCCUUCGCGACUCUCGAGCACCAUUGUUGUGUCUCGUCUCAGAGCUCGGGCUCUGCCAUUGCUGUAACUACUUCGAUGCCGCUGUCUCACCACAUGAACUCUACAUCUGUUCCGCCUCACCUCGUCGUGUCAUGCAUUCAUCUUCUCCGUUCAAGCCAUGUCGUCAAUCCGAGAGCUCACGUCGAGCAACACGGAUUCUCAAAGUGAUCGGUUCAGUAGGCUCGAGUUGAAAGGCUGAAGAUUGGUCGCCGAGAACAAUUGAGAGGCCAGGUGAUAAGCUAGCUGUUCCAAUGGCGUUCGUGCAGAGGAGAUAAAGGACUAAGAAUAUCAAGAAGAGUGGCUAAGAGUUAUCUUAUGAGUAUGAGGAUAAAGCUUCCUUGUGAGAGGGAAGGUUUAGUAGUUGUUAUUAAUAAAGCAUGGAACUAUGUCGUUUCAUUUACAAUGCUCUAUUAAAGGGGGAGUGUCCCUUAUGAAACUUUAUCAAGUAAUCAUUUAAACAAAUUAAUCCUCUUCCUUAUCUUAUCCUCUCUUUCUCUCUCCUUCUUGUUAUGUAGAUAAGCAUCAGCUUAUCAUUAGUUUGAACAAGCAACCGGAGGUUCUAGUGAAAUGGAAAGGUUUGCCUGAGUUCGAGAGCACUUGUGAAUCAGUUAAGACAUUGGCAGAGAAGUACCCAUAGUUCCAGCUUGAGGACAAGCUGAGUCUUCUUCGGGGGGGGGGGGGGGUAUUGAUAAGCUAGCUGUUCCAAUGGCGUUCGUGCAGCGGAGAGAAAGGACUAAAAAGAUCAAGAAGAGUGGCUAAGAGUUAUCUUAUGAGUACGGGGUUAAAGCUUUCUUGUGAGAGGGAGGGUUUAGUAGUUGUUAUUAAUAAAGCAUGAAAAGAGCAUCAACCACUCGAUUCUCCUUCUCUGGCCUAUAAAUCGUAUAAUUCAACCCCAGUAGCUUUGACGCCAACUUCUGUUGCUCCACCAUUACUGCCCGCUGCUCUAGCAGAUGUCUCAAACUCUUUUGGUCAGUUCUAAUGGUGAACUGAUGGCCUGUCAAGUAAUGCCUCCACUUUGUCGCUGCGAAGACAAUUGCUAACAGUUCCCGACAGCACCACUCCAAUGCCUAGCCCAGACGCGUCAGUCUCCACCACAAAAGGCUUAGAGAAAUCCUGUAACCUCAGCACUGGCAACUCACACAUGGUUUUUUUCAGUUUCGCGAAAUCCUUGUCAGCUGCUUCUGACCAACAAAACCCUUCCUUCUUCAAAAGAUCAGUCAACGGCCUCGCUAUCUUUCCAUAACUCUCCACAAACCUCCUGUAAUACCCUGUCAACCCCAGAAACCCUCUCAAGGAAGUUACAUUCUUGGGUUGUAGCCAGUUCCUCAUAGCUUCUAUCUUCUCGGGAUCUGCAGAUACUCCCUCCUUGGUUAUCACGUGACCCAAAUACUCAACUCUGGUUUGUGCAAAAGCACACUUCUUUUCAUUAGCAUAGAAACUGUGAUCCUUCAAGACUUGCAACACAAUCUUCAAAUGCUUCUGAUGUUCCUUCGCAUCUCGGCUAUAGACCAAGAUGUCGUCGAAGAAUACCAGCACAAACUUCCGGAGAUAGGGCUUAAAGAUCUCAUUCAUCACGGACUGGAAUGUUGCGGGAGCAUUGGUGAGUCCGAAGGGCAUCACCAGGAACUCAUAGUGACCUUCAUGCGUCUUGAAAGCUGUUUUUCCACAUCUCCAGCCUUUACCCGUAUCUGAUGAUACCCUGACUUGAGAUCCAACUUAGAAAAGACCGCAGCUCUAGCUAACUCGUCCAACAACUCCUCAAUGACUGGAAUUGUAAUCCACACAGAAACGAAAACCUCCAUCUUUCUUCUUUACCAGAAGGACUAGACUUGAGAAGGGGCUGAUGCUAGGUUGUUUAUCCCCGCCUGCAGCAUCUCUCGCACUAGCUUCUCAAUCUCGUUCUUCUGGAUGUGGGAAUCGCGGUACGGUCUGAUGUUAAUAGGUGAGGUUCCUUCUUGCAAGGUGAUGGCAUGUUCCCUUGAUCGUUUAGGAGGCAACCCGCUAGGCAUGUGAAACACAGUUCUGAACUCUCGCAGUAGCUUCUGGAUUGCAGGGUAAGUCCCUUUUGUCAGAACAGUCUCCUUCCCACUCUCCAUCGCCAUGAGAGAUACUUCAGCAUGAAGAAGGUUGAUAUACCAUGACUUUGACCCGUUUUCACCCAUGGUAUAUAAGUAUUUUACUAUCUAUAUACUAUAUAUUCUAUCCUACUAGGUAUGUUUUCAGGUUCAGAAGUAUCUUGGAGUAAAGUGAUGAUUAUGGAGCAUUUAGGAGCUUAAAUGAAAUUUCAUCCAAGCUGACCAUGAGAGGUCGAGACGAAGGAGAGACAAUCGAUCGAUGCACAUCCAGUGUCGUCGAUCGAUACAGAAGAGACGCCUCGGCGAUUGAAGAUUAUGAUCGAUCGAUGUACAUCCUGUACCAUCGAUCGAUGCCGAGACGCGGACACGCGCGACCUAGUUGCAGCCGACUUUAAACCCAAGACUUCACCAAAUUACAAGAAUACCCCUGACAAGUUUUUAACCUAAUAGAUUAUAUACUUGCCUAAGUGUUUAGAGGCAGGAGAGCUUUCAGCCACCUUUUGUGUUUUUUUAUUUUUAGAGGCAGGAGAGCUUUCAGCCAUCAUAGAGAGAUUUGUGAUUGAAACUCCAUUUGAUUCAUCUAUUUUAUUCUAAGCAGUUUUCAUUUACAUUUUGUGUCAUAAAAUGCUUAGCUAUGUCUGAGUAGUUCACCUGUUAGAUUCAGGGUUCAAAUAGGUUAGAGGGAUUAGCCCCAACUAUAGAUUGCUAAGUUGUGGUAUGUAUUGAUAGGUUGAUCUUAAUGUUUGUUCUAGAUUAGCUACCUAGAAUAUUGAAUCUAGGAAUCUGCAUGAGUCAAACAACCUUGACCAUCCAGUCCUGAAUCUAAUAUGUCAAACUAGACGAUAGGAAAAAGGCUACCGCUGAACCAGGAAGCUAGUGUUCAUUAUCAACUUGCGUCUAGGGCUUAACUAGAAGCAUUGAUUAAUACUGUCUUCUGACAAUCGAUCGAUCUUGCGAAAGGUGUAUCGAUCGAUGUCCCUAUAGGACCAUCGAUCGACACUUUCUUGUGGUCAAUAAACGACAGUUGAGAUCCAAGAUCUAGUUAGCUAACCAGUGAAACACUGCCAUUGCUGAUCACUAUGUUAAGGGGUUGAGCUCUAAUAUAUCAUGCAAGCAAUUGAUAGGUAUCUAUAGGAUUAUAAUCUCCAACACCUGAAUAGAAACCUGCAUCUAAUAUCUUUCCAAUAAGUUACACCCCCAAAUCAUCUUGUUAGUCGAGCCAUAGACUUGUUCAUUUAGGAUUGCUAUUUACUUUUAAACCAAUAAAUAACAAAACCUUAGAAUUAAUAAUCAUCUAGAUUUAAUAGGUUCCCUAGCUUCUUGUGGAUCCGAUCCCUAAGUACUACAAUUGAACCUCUUAUUUGAGAGAGUAAUUCACUUCUUAGGAUAAUUUGAGUGGUAUAAAAUUUGGCGCCGUUGCCGGGGAGCUUUGAUCGCCUUUAGAUUUAGUAUUAUUAAUUCUUUUCUUUUACUUUACCCCCAUUAUGACACAAAAUUUUUGUUUUCUUGUCUUUUCAAGUGCAUACCCAACAGUACCAGAAGCAACAAGGAAAAACACAUGUUAUUCUCAGAAGAUCCUGCUCACCUGGAACGCACGAUCCGCAAAGAUCAACGUUCUACAUCGCUCGACGCAGCAGCUUUCACGUCGACCGAUACACGCACCCAACCGUCGACCGAUACCCGACUUUCACCGUCGACCGAUAUACCUUGUUCGACAUCGACCGAUACAACACCGCGUUCAUCGAUCGAUCCUCAGCCGCGAAACAUGGUUGCGAUUGUUAUUCUCAGACAGGAUGAGAAUGGAAACCUGUAUGACCAGGAUGGUCAUCUGCGUAAUGCAAAAGGUCAGAAACUAGACGCUCAGGGGGCUGUAAUCCCUGAUGCUAAUGCUACAGGAGCCGCUCAACCUGUAGAAGAGGCUGCUCAACCAAGGGCACUGGCCGACUACAAUCGUCCAGACGAGUACUAGACCAACCGAUCAGCCAUCCGCCUUCUAGAGAUUCAGAAGGAGAAUUUUGAGCUGAAGCCUCAGUACUACACACUUGUGUCGCGGCUACCCUACUCUAGGUUACCACACGAGCAUCCUAUGGACCAUCUGAAAAGGUUCAAGGAUCUAAUCGCUGCUAUCCGUAUGGAUGGAGUCCCUGAGGACUACCUACUGUGCAAGCUCUUCAAGUAUAUUCUGACUGGAGAAGCGAUGCACUGGCUUAAGCAGCUACCUGCAGGAUCUCUAACAUCAUGGGCCGACAUCAGGAAUGCUUUCUUGUGAAACUUCUUUGAUGAGGCACGCGCUAAAGACUUAAGGAGCAAAAUUGCUACAUUCGCGCAGGAGACUGGAGAGUCUUUUAAAGAUGCAUGGAUCAGAUUCAAGUUCUUCCAGCGUGACUGUCCACACCACGGAUUUAAUGAAGUGCAACUGCUGAGCACUUUCUUCAGAGGUAUCACCUUGAGGUAUCAGAUGGCUCUUGAUACAGCUAGCGAGGGAAACUUCAACACUAAGAAUCCUUUGGAAGCUGUGAGACUAAUAGAAAAUCUGGCAAACAGCAGCAACACCAAGAACACUGACUUUGUGAGGAAGAAGUAUGUUGCAUCCCUAGAAAAGGAGCAGAUGGACGAAGUUAGAGCAAAGUUAGAUGUGGUUCAUGAGCUUCUUAGAAAGCAGGUCUGCUCAGCUGAAGGAGAAGUAGCUGUAGACAUGGAAGGAGAAGAAAAUGUGAACUACAUUGGAGGAACUGGAUUUCAGAGGUCUGGAAAGCAGGGAGGAAACAAAAACUUAUAUGGUAAUGGUCAAAGGAGUAACCAGAGUUCACAGUUCCAGAAACCUUUCAGCAACAACAGCAGAAGCUAUGGAACCUCAUACUACCAGAAUCCACCACCACAGACUCAGGAGAGCAAGAUUGAGUCGAUGCUUGACAGAGUUCUGGAAGGACAGCAACAACUCACUGUGGAUUUCAAUGGAAAGAUAGAUUCCGCCUACAACAGUCUGAACACAAAGAUUGAGACCUUAGGGACUCAGGUGAGGAAGCUUGAAAUGAAAGUGGUUCAGACUGCAUACACUGUAAAGAGGCAGGAAGCCUUGGCUAGAGAGGCAGGAGUUGAGAAAGCAAAGCACCACGUGAAUGCCAUAUUAGAUGAUAUUUCUGGCAAAAGGUGAAGCAUGAGAAGCUUGGAGAAGGAGACUUCGAAGUUGAAAGCUCCAUGAGCUUCAGUGGAUCCCAAUGGUGUCGACCGACGUCAAUGGAUGCACAUCGAUCGACAGACCAUGACGAAGAUCGAUCGACAGAUUACUCUGGACAUCGAUCGACGUCAUCUGCUGAAACGACUGCGGAGUGUAGUGCAGUUCGAAUCAUGACUCAUGAGGAAUUCGCAGAUAAACACACUCACCCACCCUCCCCUUUCUACGUCAAAAUCGAUCGACCGCAGGAGCCAACCAUCGAUCAACAAAGAGAGACGGUCAUCGAUCGACCUACCUCACCCCCAUCGAUCGACAGGAACCUCUCACCCACCGAGUGCGAUUACCAUCAAUCGACAGUAACCGAAUCAACGCACUCUGACCACCAUCUAAACCCUUAGCAAACCCACCAGAACCAACACCCAACUCUUCAGACACUACACCAGAGCCUAUAAAAGUUGAUGAGGCAACUGAGGGAAGAGUGUUAAGGAAAAGGAAGGAGAAAACUCCUAAGAACCUUAAGAGGGAAGCUAAUGAGAAGGAGAUGGAUGGUUUCACUAAGAGAGUCCUCAAAAUCCUAGUGGAGAAACAAUUUGAUGAAGUUUAUUUCACACACCGGUUGGGGAUGUUCUUCAGGGAUACUAAGGAAACUGAGGAGGACAUUAGGAGAAUGUUUCAUCAUGUCAGGGAAAUGAUGAAACUAAGGAUCACAUUGAAGAAAAAGAGUGGUCAUGGGAAGUUUGCAAUACCAUGUAUGGUAAAAGGUAUUGAAUUUCCCCAUGCACUUUGUGACACAUGAGCAUCAGUCAGUAUCCUACCAAAGGUUAUGGAAGACCAGUUGGGUCUGAAAAUAGAGCCUUCAUCAGAAUCUUUCACCUUCGUGGACCUUUCAGAAAGGAGCUCAGGAGGCAUCAUAAGAGACCUUGAGGUACAGAUUGGUAAUGCCCUUGUCCCAGUAGAUUUUCAUGUCCUGGACAUAAAGCUUAACCGGAACUCUUAGCUUCUGCUUGGAAGAGCUUUCCUAGCUACAGUAGGAGUUGUAUGUGACAUGAACACCAACAUAUUGUUUCUGACACUGAUUGAUCCAGACAUACACUAUGACCUAGUUCGAGUUGUGAGACAACAUGUCAACGUCGUGGAAAUUGGGAAUGAGCUUGGCUACAUUGCACCAUGCCAUUCUGGAGCAGAGUAUGAAACCGAGUACUCGGAAUCGAUCAACACUCACACUGUCACAUCGAUCGAUUCAUAUGAGUCACCAAUGACCGAUGAAAGCUAUCUCACGUCGCUCGACGAGAGGCAACCGGUAGACUACUCCACAUCCCCAGAUCAGUAUUAUCAAGACUUUGCCUUUGAACAACCCAACAAGAACAGACGUGAUGACUAUUCAAUAGGCAGUUGGGCAGACAGUGGAUUCCAUGAAAGCUUUGCAGUGGAAACUGUGAUUCUUUCAUCAAAUGAGGAUCCUAUUGAGGAGUAUGAUGAAGAUUACUGGAAGGAAAGAGCUACAGAGAUUGCUUUGCAGGAUGAAAGAUAUUUAACACAUUCCUUCAACAACACGCCUACACCAUCGAUCGACGGAGUCUACUCAGCAUCGAUCGAUUCCCACCCUCAUCCAGAAAAAACAAUCAUCUGCAUCGAUCGAUACCCCACCGGGUACAUCGAGCGAUAUUAAAGCCGCGGCCUCAAAAAAACAAGGAGGGAAUAUUCCAAUUCCUAUCUCAAAUAGGUUUAACAAAACCUAUAUAAGGAGUUCUACACCCCAGAAUACUUCUCACAAAACAUAAGCAGAAAAUAUGAAUGCUCCAACAAAUCAAUCAGAAGGAACAUCAAGGAAGAGUAUUCAAUCCAAAAACCCUAAUUCAGCAGAGAAACGUCUACCAUCGAUCGAUACAUCAGUAUCAACAUCGAUCGAUUCUCAUUCUAAACCUCAACUUUCUUUACCUACUAAGAAUAUGGUAUUGAUUACGACUUUCUAUUACCUGAUGAAUUUGGUAUUUUCAGGGACCAAGAUGGCCACACAAGAGCUAUGGAUGGAAGGAUUCUACAAGUACCAGAGAGGACAUAUCAGAUAUCAUUCAGCUGGCCAAUGGAGCAGACAACUUGUUUACGCAGCAACGCAACAUCCCAGACAACAAUCCAACUGUUCCAGACGAAUUUCCAAAGGCCACAACAACAGGAAUUGGUUCACACCAAUCGUGCAAACCUGCUGCCCAAGCAUCGAUCAAUGAGGUUGCUUAUACAUCGCUCGACAGGUUAACACCAACGUCGCUCGAUAAGGCACCUCUGCCAUCGAUCGAUAGACGUUACGAAUGUGGACGUCGCGCUUAUGACAACUUUGGAGCCAGAAAGUUUAGAUGGGAACAAAAGGACGAAUAUGCAGUCUCUAGAGAAGAGUAUGGACUUGCAAGGAGCGCAACUGGUGAUAUGAUUCCUGUUACCAAGGAUGACAUCAGGAAAGUUCUGGAGAGAGCAUCCCUAUUUGGAGAGGGCAGCAUAUGUCUUCCAGAACAGGCCACUUCUCACACACCAACAACACUGACACCAAUAACACUGGCACCAGAGAUCUAGACCAAGGAGGAGAUCAAUGAAAUGGUGAAUGGUAUUUGUGGAACUCAGGAAAAGCUAGGAGAUGAACUCAGGACAUUGGUAGAUGACACUUAUCAAGCUUCGCCAAUUUAUUCUCUUCUCUUUAAGCUUCGCCAACCAAGUGUAUCCCAACACCAUAUCAGUCGCUCCCAAAUCAAACACCAAUAACUCUUCGUAAAUAGCCACUCCUUGGAUAUUUAAAUAUACGUUCCCGCAUUUCCACUGCUGGACAACACACGACCAUCUCCAAUUGCCACCCCAAAGUCUUGCGUGGGUGAUACUGUUAGACCCAACUCCUCUACUAGACGUUUAGCUAUGAAGUUGCACGACGCCCCAGAGUCUAUUAGCACCACCACUUCAGCUCCCCUAAGAGACCCUCUGACUCUCAAAGUCCGUUUCGUUGUGAUUCCCACCAUAGACUUGAGAGAAAGAACUUGGAGCUUGUUGAGGUCGAAAACGGUUACGACGAAGUUAAUAUCCAAAUCUCCGCAAAUAUAAGUAUGAGUGUCCUUCCGCAACGAAUCGUGCUCAGUCAAUAGAAUGUCGCGACAUAUGUUCUCGAGAUAAAACUUUGUUCAAAUUCUAUUUGGAUCAGACACUAGCUGUCCCGAGGUAACGGAAACGUAUCCAAGCCAGCUACCGAUAGGUUCGAAUAUGACGAUCAGAACACGGACAAACCAAGCUCAGUCACUACGCAACUACCGAACAUGCACACUAUCCGGUCAAUGCGUAGCGUCGCUACGUAGCGACCGAGCUCGAGCCAAGCUUGGUCACUACAUAGCGACCGAGCGUCCGUCCCGCUCGGUCGCUACGUAGCGACCGAGCAUGCGUUCCGUUCAGUCACUACAUGGCGACCAAGCAUCCAUCCCGCUCGGUCGAUCCGUUCAGUCGCUACGUAGCAACCGAGCUCUUCCGAAACGUCGAUACGACGCAAGUCCAUGCAUUCUCGUCUACCUUUCGAUGCUAUCUCCCGAAGACCGUAGCGAACCCAUUUCAUGUUUUCCGCCAUUCGAAGUCAUCGAUCAAACUUUGCAGGAAAAAUCGCGGUAAGUUCGUUCUUUAUCAAAAGAAGCCGUAAUAAACGCUUCGAGUCAAAAGAUGGGCCAAAAGGACCUAAGACAUGACUCGAUGCCCAACUUACGAUUUUAUAACCAACAGCCCGUAAGCCGCAUGAUGGUUUCCGCUUGGUUCGCAAGGAAAGAUAAAUGUCAAGUUUCCGCGGAUAAAUACGAAAUUUUGAAGAUAAUUACGAAGAUCGGGAAAAAUGGAAUAUCUCCAUUUUUAUGCUAUGACGGCUUAAGGGCAGAAGAGAAAAAGCGUAAACUGACCUAGGAGCGAGUAUAUAAGGAGUCCUAGGCGAGAGGCAUGGGGGGGAUUUUUUCAGAGAAAACUUAGCACUUAGAGUAAUCAGGCAACUUUCCGUUUUUGUUAUUUCGAGCUGUGACUCAAUUAGGUUUAGCCGUCUUAGGGUUGCUAGAACUAGAAAUCUUGCCGACAGCUCUCGAGCCCAGGCUUAUACCUUGUUGUAAACGCUCAUACGCAAAUUCAGAAUAAGACUUCUCUUUGCUCUCUUUUUACGAUUUUUCUACUUUGUCGUUGUUAUCUCGUGUUCUGAUUGCUUAGCGUGUGGUAUUAGCAGAUAUCCGGGACCUCUGGAAAAUUAGAGUUUUCCUAGUUUCCUAAUUUAGACGUAAAUCGACAGUGCAAGUUUUGUUUCCCACAGUUUGGCUCUAGAAGGAGGGGGGGGGGGUACGGAUCAAUCUAACUCGCAACCACAUCACGCUCAACCAGACAUGUCAACUGACGACGCGGAAAAUGUGCAAACUCCUCUUAACGGAGGAAGAGGCACUGAUCUCCACACUCCAGCAGCGGACGUAUCCGCGGCCAAUGCACCAGCCGCGGCGCUCGAGGAGUUUAAAAAGAUGUUCGCCACCUACGAGAAAAGGUCGGAAGAACAGGAUAAGCUCGUGAGCACCUUGACCAAUCAGGUUGAAACUUUAACGGCAAGGACUCGAGUAAUCCGUCCCCGCGGAACCACUAAAGUCCGUGGGAAAAGACUUGACUUCGUAACCCCACUCGAUAGGCCUGGAACUGCGUGGGAACGACCUUCGGUUUAAUACCCUAGCGAUAAAUCUCCCAUCGAAAAGGGGAACCGUGAGAGUCCUCCGCCUCCCACAAAGGAUUCGGAGGAUAAUGAAGUUGAGCACGUCGACUUGGAUCCCAGCGACGUUUCCAAUGAUACCAAGGAGGAUGUCGACAGACAUCCAAGAAGGACCAAAAGUCGAUCCGCUCGGGAAAUCUCUCCGUUCGACAAACCAAUGACGGAGGAAGAGGAAAUCCUCUAUUGGAACGAGCAAGAAGAGCUGGCUGAAAAGCAAACUGAGCUAACUCGCAGUAAACGCCGACAGGCUCGGAAAUCUGCUGACGAGACGUCGGAUAUCCGCGAUGUUCGCGACUACAUCACCAAAACUGCAGCAGAAGUAAGAGCCGUGAAAUCCCAGAUCCAUCACGCUACUAGCACUGCCCCCGAGAUCGACAGGCUGCUGGAAGGGGCUCGGAAGACCCCCUUCACCACUCGCUGAUAUGAGGGUAUCUGACCUGGGGAAAAUCAAAGUGCCAAAGUAUGAUGGUACUACCGAUCCGAAGGCGCACCUUCAGGCUUUCCACAUCACGAUGGGAAGAGUAAGACUGAAGGACAGCAAAAAAGACGCCGGCUUUUGCCACCUAUUCGUCGAAAAUCUGGAGGGAGCAGCCCUCGAAUGGUUCGCACGUCUGAAGCGAAACUCUAUCGGGAGUUUCCAACACCUCGCAUCAGAGUUUCUCAAACAAUACUCUAUGUUCAUACAUAGAGAAACUUCCGAUGUCGAUCUCUGGCGCCUAUCCCAGAGGGAACCUAUCCCAGAGGGAGGACGAACCCCUCCAGGGUCAGCGGGAUAAGCGACAAGGUGGCCAUUGACGCGCUCAGAGAGACGCUCUGGUAAAUGUCAAAAUUCAGGAAAUGGAUAACCCUCGACAAACCGCGGACGAUCCAGGACGCCCUCCACAAGGCAACAAAUUACAUUAUAAUCGAAGAGGAAACAAAAUUCUUGUCGCAAAAACAUAAAUCCACGAGACCAUCCUCGAAAGACGUGGAUCCAAAAACGAAGAAGAAGAACUCUCGUAACGACAAGUACGUCCAUCACAAGGGGGAAGAUCUCCAAGUAGCGCACAAUUACGCGAUUAGUUCGGACCAAGGCCGAACCACAGGUAAUAUGUGGACUCGCAAUCAAGGAUAUGACGAAAACCCCUUCGGCGAGUUCCACCAGUCCCGAGGACACUCCACGACUAACUGCAAAGUCUUGGGAGCAAGACUGGCCGCGAAGCUAUUAGCUGGAGAGCUCUCGGAAGUGACCAGUGUCAAAGAUCUCAUCCUCGAGACUGAUCGCCUUCCGAAGACAGACAGAAAUCCGCCUGCAGAGAAAUACCCUCACAUAAACCAAUCCGGGGAUAAACGCGGCAGAAGGCCGGAUGACAAAAGAAACGAUAACAAUCGUCGCAGAGUCAACAUGAUUAUCGGAGGAUCGCAAUACUGCAACGAUAUGGUUUCGGCCAUCAAAGCUUACCAGCGGAAGGCAGAGUCGAGUGCGAACUGGCCUACAUGGUUUCCUCCCCGAGACGGUCAAAACAGCUCUAUCACCUUUACGAAGGAAGAAGCCGGAGGGAUCGAUCAACCUCACUGCGAUCUGUUCGUCAUUGAUCUCGUCAUACGAGAUCUGGAAGUUGGGAGAGUACUCAUUGACACGGGAUGAGCAUCGAGCUCGGAGAAGUAAAUCCAACGCCGAAACCACUCACGGGUUAUUCGGGCGAAGUAUUGAUGACUCUCACAUCGAUCCAGCUGCCAGUCAUAGCCAAGGAAAUCAAAAAAAUCGUCGAGUUCGCGGUGGUCGAUCAUCCUGCUAUCUACAACGUGAUCAUGGGAACCCCAUGGCUCAACGCCAUCCAAGCCGUUCCGUCAACGUACCACCUCGGCGUCAAAUUCCCAACCCCGAACGGAGUCGCAGCUAUCUGGGGAUGUCAGAAACAGUCACGGCUAUGUUUCCUCGUGGAGCACAAUUUAAGACAAAUCACGACUUCUGCAACGGCAAAUCGUAAGCGCACGAAGAUAGAUCAACCUUCGGCCAGAUACUCCCCAAGGAAAGACGAUCUAACAUCGUCUGCUGGCGCAAACGCUUCGGACGUCGAAACUCAACACGAUUCCGAAGCCGACACUACAACUCGACCGGAACAUCUGGAAAAGAGCACUCACCCAGCCACGGUCAUCACGAUCAAGGCGGUCAGCACGACGACAACCGCCGAGUAAAAACGCUCGUGGCAUAAAAAAGAACUACGACAUGGCUUGAUCCUCGAAAAGGGUACGUAGGCAGCUCGUCGAAAGACGAGUUCAGCUAUCCCCCUCUCUAAAAAGGGGGGGGGGAGUGGGCACAUAUACUCGUUUACUCCCUCGUUUUAAAAGAUGCACCAUUGUAAUCGAGUUUUUUAAAACUUUACUACAAUACACAUUCCUUUUUUUUUAAAACACUUAUGUUUACGCAAAAAGUCUUAGGACAUGCUUAAAAAGUCUACAAAUUUUAGACUCUUUUCAACGGCCUUAUCCGGCCCAAAAUCACAGAGCAAUCAUCCUUCAGCACCAAAAAUAUACGUAUAGUCUUUGAAACAACUGCGAGACGUCACCAAGUUAAAAUUCGAGACGAUGCGAACAAAUUGGCCAACCGCGACCACAAAGAACCGACACCCCGUUCGUCUAUUGGCCCCGACGAACACGCCAACCGUCUUAAACAAACGCAACUCGAUCACUCUUUUGAUCGUCGAACAUCCAACACAAGGACGAAAGCGCGCUACAAAAAAAAUACGAAAUUUUGGUCUAACACUUCCAGUUGGCUUAAAAAUUAUCUCUGGAAAGAUGCUCGUACAAGUCAUAUAAGCCGAGAACCUAUCGCGGACUUGAAAUCGGUACGAAUCAGGUAGAAAUCGCAACGGGAAAAUCGAUAGCCGGCUAGUCACCGCACAAACCUUAAACCGAGAGUAAACCUAGAUCUUGCCCUAAACCCAUCGCAUUAGUCUCAGACAUCUCAAGACAUGACAUCUAAACGAUACAAGAUCCUAAAUCAUGUCUCUCCGUUCACAUCACAACGUUCUUGAAAGUUGUAAGAAUAAAUAAUUUUUACGAAAAUUCGCGAAUGAACCGACAUAUAGAACGUCUCAAUGGAAUUAAAUAUGAGACAACUACUCAUGUUUACUUCAAAACUACUCAAAACAAAACAAUUCGAAAUAAACGCCUAUCAUAUAUAAAAACCGCAUAAGCGGCAGGGAUUCAAAGCCACCAACGGCCAGUCCCGGUAAACGAUAAAACGGCCGAAACAGGCCCAUGCAAUGUCUCGAAAUAGAAGCCACACUCGGCAGAAAAAAAGACAAAUAAAGGCCACACUCGUCCACAAACACAGGAUAAACAAACAGCCGUCCCCCGCGGGACGAUCCACCUCCUCGCAAUCACCGGGAAACUCGGUCGUGGUCUCUACGGUAUCGGGAGAAACCGGGAUGGGAUCCCAGAAUCCCUUGAUCCUCCCGUCGAUCGGAGAAAUGAGCGCCUCAGCGUGAGCAUGAUCGUUCAUGCCGCCCUUCAUUAACCCCAUCUCCUUCUCGAAAACAUAGUCGUCUGCCUGCGUCUUCCAAAGGCUCCCGACUGAACUGCGACACUCACGGUAAUCGCCCGUGAAAGCAUCCUUGAGGUUCCCGUAUUUGAUAUGGAAUUGAGAAGCAUAGUCGGCCGCCUGCGUCUUCAUCAACUCUACGAUCUCCCUCUUACUCUUCUGUUCCGCCUUACGAACAGCCCUCGCAUGGUCACGAGCGAGUUAUGCAUCGCGCUCCAACAUCUCGCCUUGCAUGCGAGCAAGAUCCAUCUUCGCUUUCUCUGCUGUAAAGCGAUAGACCAUGGCCUCCCUAUGGCUCGCCUCAAGGGCCGAUCCAAGCAAAUUCAGACCCUGCAGAACCAAUUAACAAGUUUUAAGCGGGAAAAGGGGUACAUAAGACAAUCGCCAAAUUUCUCGAAAACUAACCCCGUUGAUGAUACGAGAUCCUUCUGCGACGACUUUUGGCCUCCCCGAUUCGUUCGUAGGCGGGGGAGCAUCAAAAACCGAGGGUAGACCGACAAAAAAAUCAUCAAAGUCUGGAAUAGGGAUCUCGCUCGUACCGCUUCCAUCGCCGUAAGCAAGGUCUGGAUCCCAUCCUGGAAGCAAUGAAUCAUCCACCGAAAACUCUAUGUUACCAAGGUCAAUAUCUUUCCCCUUCGAAGAGUUCAAACCCGUCGCAACCGUGGGAGCAGCGUCGGGACCUUGGUCAUCAGGCUCGGAGUCGAUUCAUGUUUCCACGCCCGAAGCAGGACCGGGAUGCACAAACCUCAACGCCUUUCAAACUCUCUUCGGCGUAAAGGAAGUCCAGAGAAACGGACAGUUCCUGAGAUGAUCCCUCACCGCGAUAAUAUCCUCAGGGAACGGAGCAAGCGGAUUGAGGAAGGGACGAUCGUUUGGCAACCUCCGGGACAAUGGAAUACAAUUCUCUUCGACAGAUGCAGUGUCUAUACGAACAAAGAAGAAAAACUUCUUCCAUGAGUUGAAGUUGGAAAUAAACCCCUUAACCACUGACAUGAAGUUCCGAGGGACCAGUCUAUACUUGUCCGUAUCCUUGACGAUCUGUAACCUGAAAAGCGCUUCAAAGUGGUCGACGGGAAGGGAGAGACCAUGCUCGUUGCCCAGAAUCAGGACUCCAACGAGGUGCUGGAUGCUAAGGGGGUUCAAUUGGCUUAUCGUCACCUCCAAACGAUCCAACACACCGGCGAUAAUUUUGGAAAUCGGGAACCACAAGCGGCAGCGCACUACGAAUGCUUCGUAACAAGUAAAGUAACCCUCCGGGGGACUACUAGCGCGUUCUUCUUGACGAGGAACCCUGAAUUCUACCGUAUCCGGAAUUUGGUAGAACGACCGCAUGAUCCCAAGAAAUUCGCUAGUGCUCCUACUUGGUGCACCUUCUUCGACCGAACGAUGGGUCAUAACCGGGAACGACUUCUCUUUGGGAGGUGUGAUCGAACCAUAACACGCAACCCACCAUGCCUCGUUCUAGGUCGGGUCUACCGAAUGAGGCACAAAUUCUAUCUUCGGCACAAGGAGCUCUUCAUGAACGUUUGCGGAAGAGGAUCCUUUCUUCGAAGUCUUUUUCUUACUCGACAUUUCGAGUUUAUAAAUAGAAUCAAGAAGAAAAGGAUAGAGAGAUAAGAGAAAUUUUUUCAAAAGAACUCUUUAUGAGAAUGAGAAAGUGAAAAGAUUAUGAAGAAGUUACCUCCCUUCUUAUAGGCAUGAGAAAUUACUAUUUACUUGCGGACUUUCGGACACAAACUUCGCCUAAAUGUACCAACCUCGUCCGAACUCGUCAUACCAUACGCUAGAAUCUCACUAGAAAUCCACGAUUCUAACGGACUAUUGGGAUCGAAAACGGUUACGAUGAAGUUAAUAUCCAAAUCUCCGCAAAAUAUAAAUAUGAGUGUCCUUCCGCAAUGAAUCAUGCUCAGUCAAAAAAAUGUCGCGACAUAUGUUCUCGAGAUAAAACUUUGUUCAAAUUCUUUUUGGAUAAGACACAAACUUUCCCGAGGUAACGGAAACGUAUCCAAGCCAGCUACGGAUAGGUUUGAAUAUGACGAUCAGAACACGGACAAACCAAGCUUAGUCACUACGCAACUACCAAACAUGCACACUAUCUUGUCAAUAAGUAGCAACCGAACUCGAGCCAAGCUCGGUCGCUACGUAGCGACCGAGCUCGAGCCAAGCUCGGUCGCUAAGUAGCGACCGAGCGCGCGUCCCGCUCGGUCGCUACGUAGCGACCGAGCUCGAGCCAAGCUCUGUCGCUACAUAGCGACCGAGCGUCCGUCCCGCUCGGUUGCUAUGUAGCGACCGAGCUUAAGCCAAGCUUGAUCGCUACAUAGCGACCGAGCAUCCGUCCCGCUCGGUCGCUAUGUAGCGACCGAGCGUGCAUUUCGUUCGGUCGCUACAUAUCAACCGAGCUCUUCCGAAAUGUCGAUACGAUGUAAGUCCAUGCAUUCUCGUCUACCCUUCGAUGUUAUCUCUCGAAGACCGUAGCGAAACCCAUUUCAUGUUUUCCGUCAUUCGAAGUCAUCGAUCAAACUUUACGGGAAAAACCGCGGAAAGUUUGUUCUUUAUCGAAAGAAGCCGUAAUAAACGCUUCGAGUCAAAAGACGGCCCAGAGGGACCUAAGACAUGACUCGAGGCCAAACUUACGAUUUCUUAACCAACAGCCUGUAAGCCGCAUGACGGUUUAUACUUGGUUCGCAAGGAAAGUUAAAUGUCAAGUUUCUGCGGAUAAAUACAAAAUUUUGAAGAUAAUUAAGAAGAUCGGAAAAAAUGGAAUAUCUCCAUUUUUAUGCUAUGACGGCUUAAGGGCAGAAGGGGAAAAGCGUAAACCGACCAAGGAGCGAGUAUAUAAGGAGUCAUAGGCGAGAGGCAUGGGGGGGGGACUUUUUCAGAGAAAACUUAGCACUUAGAGCAAUUAGGCAACUUUCCGUUUUUGUUAUUUCGAGCUGCUAGGUUUAGCCGUCUUAUGGUUGCUAGAACUAGGAAUCUCACCGACAGCUCUCGAGCCCAGGCUUAUACCUUGUUGUAAACGCUCAUACACAAAUUCAGAAUAAGACUUCUCUUUGCUCUCUUUUUACGAUUUUAAUACUUUGACGUUGUUAUCUCGUGUUCUGAUUGCUUAGCGUGUGGUAUUAGCAGAUUUCCGGGACCUCUGGAAAAUUAGGGUUUUCCUAGUUUCCUAAUUUAGACGGAAAUCGACAGUGCAAAUUUCAGUUCCCACAGUGCUCUUGUUGCUUUUGUGGCUCUUCAUCCUCUUCCGACUCACCCCUAGCGUCUUCAUCUCUCUCAGAUUCCUCCUCCACUUCCAGACAUUUGAACCUUUGAAACGCUUUGCAGCGAUGGCUUGAGAAAACCUUUCUCCGCAAUGCCGACAAGGGUUGUAGACCGUCUUUUUCUGCUCAUUUGUCUUGUUGUCGCGCUGGGAUUCAAAGGAUUUUCUGGCGGUGGUUGUUUCACUUUGGUUUCCCGGAGGAGAGUGGUGGCUCCUCUGGUUGUUAUUGAGCGCAGGAGGAUAGACCAAUUUCUUAUAUAUGCAAAGGGUUUUCGAGCAAAAGCAGAGUGAAAUCAGUCUAUGAGCGGGAACUGUUAGCAAUUGUCUUCGCAGUGACAAAGUGGAGGCAUUACUUGACAGACCAUCAGUUCACCAUUAGGACUGACCAAAAGAGUUUGAGACAUUUGCUAGAGCAGCGGGCAGUAACGGUCGAGCAACAGAAGUGGGCGUCGAAGCUACUGGGGUUGAAUUAUACGAUUGAGUGUAGGCCAGGGAAGGAGAAUCGAGUGGCUGAUGCUCUUUCAAGACGUGUAGAGUUGACAGGGAAUGCAGCUGAGUUUAAGGAAUUUCAGUUAACUGCACCACUAUCUAUUGAUAUGGAUGAGUUAGCUUUGCAAGUGAUGAGGCUUUGCAAAGCAUAAUUCAGGGAGUUCAAAGUGGAGAUCAAGAGUUUGAAGGGUAUUGUUUGAAUAAUGAAGUGUUGUUUAAAGAUAGGCGUUUGGUGAUUCCCGCUAAGUCUCUUUUCAUUCCGACUCUGAUGAAUCAGUUCCAUGAUAGCGCCAUAGGGGGGCAUGAAGGAGUUCUCAAGACGUUUAAACGGAUGGCUCGUGAGGUCUAUUGGAAGGGAAUGAGAAGUGACAUAACGGCAUUCAUCAAAUCUUGCAACGUUUGCCAGAGGAAUAAGUAUUCUACCUUGUCUUUCGCAUGGUUACUAUCUCCCCUACCGAUUCCAGAACAGGUGUGGUCAGAUAUUAGCCUCGACUUUGUGGAAGGACUACCAAGUUCUAAAGGCUUUGAAGUGAUACUGGUGGUGGUAGAUAGGUUAACCAAGUAUGCACAUUUCAUACCGUUGAAACACCCUUUCAUUGCUAAGACUGUGGCUGAAGUGUUUGUGAAGGAGGUGAUCAAAUUACAUGGGUUUCCUAAGACUAUGGUAUCUGACAGAUUUAAGGUCUUUCUGAGCAAGUUGUGGACUGCUCUCUUCCAAAGUCAAGGCACGGCGCUGCAUAAAAACACAGCAUACCAUCCGCAAUCAGACGGACAAACGGAAGUAGUCAACCGUUGUUUGGAGGCAUAUCUGAGAUGUUUUGCAGGGCGCAAACCGUCUUCUUGGAGUCAACGGUUGCCUUGGGCAGAGUAUUGGUACAAUACAUCACACCAUUCUUCGUCCAAGACAACGCCAUUUCGUGCUUUAUAUGGGAGAGACCCACCGAGACUAUUGAGGUUUGGAGACAUUCCAGCUGCUAAUGCAGAAGUGGAAGUGCUGAUAUAAAGUCGGGAUGCCUUGUUAUAAGAACUACGUGACAAUCUGGUUACUGCGCAUGCUAGGACAACGAUGGGAGAGACACACCGAGACUAUUGAGGUUUGGAGACAUUCCAGCUGUUAAUGCAGAAGUGGAAGUGCUGAUAUAAAGUCGGGAUGCCUUGUUGUAAGAACUACGUGACAAUCUAGUUACUACGCAGGCUACGAUGCAUGCAGCGGCAAAUAAGCAGCGACGUGAUGUUCAGUUUGACGUUGGAGAUUGGGUGUACUUAAAGCUCAGGCCAUACCGAAAAAAUACCGUGGCAAUGCGGAAGGUAGAGAAGCUUGCACCACGGUUCUUUGGUCCUUACUUUGUGAUUCAGCGAGUGGGCAAGGUCGCUUAUAAGUUGGCUCUACCAGAUCAGAGUCAAAUCCACCCAGUGUUCCAUGUCUCCCAGCUACAGCUUGGAGUGGAGCCUCAGGAUAAGGUUCAUGAGCUUCCUUUAAUCCUUUCUUCUUCCUUCGAGUGGAACACUGAGCCUGAAGAGUUGUUGGAGAUCAGGCAGUCGAGUUUGAACAAGCAAGCGGAGGUUCUAGUGAAAUGGAAAGGUUUGCCUGAGUUCGAGAGCACUUGGGAAUCAGUUAAGACAUUGGCAGAGCAGUACCCAGAGUUCCAGCUUGAGGACAAGCUGAGUCUUCUUCGGGGGGGGGGGGGGGGGGUGGUAUUGAUAAGCUAGCUGUUACAAUGGCGUUCGUUCAGAGGAGAGAAAGGACUAAAAAUAUCAAUAAGAGUUAUCUUAUGACUAUGGGGUUAAAUCUUCUUUGUGGGAGGGAAGGUUUAGUAGUUGUUAUUAAUAAAGCAUGGAACUAUGUUAUUUCAUUUACAAUGCUCUAUUAAAGGGGGAGUGUCCCUUAUGAAACUUUAUCAAAUGAUCAUUUAAACAAAUUAAUCCUCUUCCUUAUCUUAUACUCUCUUUCUCUCUCAUUCUUGUUACGAAAGCAUCAGCUUAUCACCAGGCUUUGUGCUUCGAUCAAUCAAAGCUUCGCGGGUUGAGAACUGCAGGCUGGGCGUCGAGGCUGAUGGAUCGAGCAGUUGGCUUCAUCUGGAGUGGUCGCCGUGAGCUUUACGGACUGAAAGCUUCAAGCUUGGGUCGAGGAAGAUGAAGUGGGCAAGCUACAAAUUCAUACACCGCUCGAAUAGUGCCCUCGGCGUUCGAACUAGGGCUGUGUCAAGAGUGACAGAUCGAGAGCCUGGUCUUGUUCAUCGAGGGCUUUGUGCUCGCGGGUUAACCGAUCCGGAUUGUAUCGAAAGAGUCUGAUCGAGCACUCAUCUUCUCCCCCGUCGAAAACUCCAAAGCUCACGACAGAGACAUGACCAACUUCUAACAUUUUGCACAUUUGGUCCCUGUGUUUUGCUCCUUUUCUAUUUUGACCCCGAAACUUCUGUUUGGUGCAGAUUAGUCUUUGAAAUUGCCACAUAACUUCAGAUUGUGCAUUCCAGCCCCUGUUUGUGCAAUAUGAACAAAUGCAACACCUAAAUGCAACUCAUAUACACUAAAAUGACCAAAUUCAAUAGCUAAAAACAUGUAAAAACACUAUACAUCAACUCCCCUAAACUUGCUUCUUUACUUGUCCACAAGUAAACUUUCAAGAAGAGUAAAGAAGAGAGGUUGAAAAUGCAAGCUCCUAACCAAAAGAAACUCUUCAAAGCCAUCAGCAUGAUAUCCAUACAAAAUCGUAGCAAAUAGCAAGAACAUGGUUCCUCAUUAACUGUAGCUUCUCUAGACCUGUCUCAACUCUAAAUUUUAUUUCUUUACAGUCAUCACCUAGAAUCCACAACAAGCCAAUCAACCAACCCUCACAUUCAUUAAAACAAGUCUCAAGAUGAAGUCUCACAAAUGGGAACUUGAUCCUGAUCAUUUAGUAAAGUGAAGAUAUGGCUAUGAGUGGUGAAUCAAAGAAAAGGAGCAAUGACAUUACACAAAAUCUAUCUAAGAAAGGGAACAAUUUAUGCAUACAGCAGUUAAUCCUCAUUGUUCUAUCCAAAUCACAGAGAUGUGAUUCAUAUUCUACCCUUUUUCUCAUGUCAUUCUUUCUUUCUCUCACCCCCAAACUUUAAUAACCCUUCAUUCUUUUUCACUCACCAGAUGAACUCACUUUUCUUUAAUAAUCAACUAGGGAUCCUUUGAUCUUUUUCUACACUUAGCUCAAUAUGAACGCCAAACUCUUUUUUUAGAGCUUGUUUUCCUUUCUUUUGAUCUCUAGUGACCUUUUCUCUUUUGAACUCUGGUGGUUUACUCUUUUUCUUCUCUCGACCCAAAUACCAAUCAGCUCAGACCUUAGCCAUCACUUAAACCCACUACCCAACCUAAGUGCUAGCUUCAAAUGAGAUCCUAAUAGCUAGCCAAAAUGAGAAUCAACAGAUGUCGUUCCCAGUACUUUCAAGUUUUUGCACAUGUCAAAGCUAUCAAAACAGGCCUUACUCAAGCAGUUAAAUGGUGGUUUGAAACAAAGGGUAGUGUUUAAGGAGUGGAAACCAUCUCAAAGAUGAAGAUGACCACUUGGAUUGACAGAGGUUGGUGGAAGUGGAGAAAAGACAAUCCAAGUGUGUAUAAGGUAUCCAUGAUCAAUUAUUAAGAGCCCAUAAGAAAGAGGAAUUAAGUUCAUUAGACUCAAGUAGAUUGGAGUUGGAAUCAAGGACAAGCAGUUUCAAACAAAGCAAUGAGUUCACGUGGAGUUUUCAAGGCUCGAAACUUGCAAGUCUUAAGAGAUGGUCACGCUACUAGCUAUGAUUAAAACGGGUGUCAUACUGAGUUCUUAGCAUGAGUUCUUUGCAUGGCAUUUAAUGCAGAUGAAUGCAACCUAUAUGCUUCUAGACUCGAUCCUAACAAUGAAAAUGCAGCAAAAUGAAUCUAGAUGCUUGUUUUUGUUUUUUAGAAUUUGUAAAAUUUUAUGGAUUUUUCUAUGCAAUAAAUAUUAACAAUGCAAUGCAUGAGACUUACACAAAAGAAAACAGAAUGUGAGAUAACAGUUCUCUCCUCCAAACUUACUUCACACAGUCCCUUGUGUGAUAGUAAAGAUGAAGAAAAGACUCAAAGGAAAAAUAUAAGGAAAACUAAAUCUGCACAGAGGUGGGGAAACACAUACCUGAAGCUUUUGUUGGAUGCAUGGGAUGGAGGAUAGGGAGGGAUCUUCUUUUUGACUUGUGGCGAUUGACCCUCUGGAUUAGAUGUAGAAAUCCCCCAAACUUGUUGGUUGACCUCUUCCAUCUAUUCAAUAAACCCUAAUCACAAAAAUAUUAGUAAAACAUAGAUAGAUAUAUAUAUACAAAAGAUAACAUGAGAUUGCCUCCCAAGUGCGCUUGUUUUAAGUCUCUAAGCUUGACUUCCUUUUCUCGUUCUAGGCUGGGGUUGGAUCAGAGAGAAGAACUGAGGUUCCCUCACUCUCUGUUGUUGUUGCCAUGUAGGGCUUUAGUCUAUGCACAUUCAAUGUGAAAUCGCCACCGGUCUUGUUCCACAACACAACAGCUCCGUAGGGCCUUACUUCAUUGAUUUGAAAGGGUCCAAACCAUCUUGAUUUGAGCUUCUCGAGAAAAACCUUAAACCGAGAGUUGAAUAGCAACACCUGAUCACCAGCACUGAACUCCUUCUUUAGGAUCUUCUUGUCAUGGAAGGCUUUAGUCUUUUCUUUGUAGAUCUGAGAGCUCUAAAAAGCAUCAAGCCUGGUUUCAUCUAGCUCAUUCAGCUGGAUCAGUCUCUUCUCCUUAGCAGUUUUGAUAUCAAAGUUCAGGAGCUUAAUUGCCCAUAAGGCCUUGUAUUCAAGCUCAACUGGGAGAUGACAUGACUUUCCAUAGACAAAGUUAAAGGGAGUUGUUCCUAAAGGUGUCUUGAAGGCACUUUUGUAUGCCCAUAGUGCAUCGUUGAGUUUUAGAGACCAGUCUUUCUUUUUCCUCCCCACUAUCUUCUCAAGGAUGGCUUUGAUCUCUCUGUUAGAGAUCUCAACUUGUCUGCUGGUCUGGGGGUGGUAAGCUGUUGCUACCUUAUGAUUGACCCCGUUCUUCUUCAGUAAGCUCUCAAAGACUUUGUUGAUGAAGUGAGAGCCUCCAUCACCGAUGAUCACCCUUGGAACUCCAAAUCGUGAAGAUGAUGCUUUUGAAUAGCUUAAUGACGACCUUAGCAUCAUUGGUUGGGCUUGCAAUGUCUUCUACCCAUUUGGAAACAUAGCCAACAACCACCAGGAUGUACUUGUUUUUGUAAGAUGAAGGAAAUUGCCCCAUAAAAUCAAUACCCCAGACAUCAAAUGUCUCAACUUCCAAAAUUGGGUUCUGAGGCAUCUUGUUCCUCUUGGUGAUAUUGCCUCUUCUCUGACAUGUGUCACAUCGGGAGACAAACUACUGAGUGUCUUUGAACAUGUGAGGCCACCAUAAACCCGCCUGAAGAACCUUUGCCACUGUUUUGAAUGUGGUAAAAUGACCACCAUAGGACGAACUGUGACAAAGAGUAAGGAUCCCUUCAACCUCUUCCUCGGCUACAACUCUUCUGUAGAGUUGAUCCUUACAUAAAGUGUACAGGUAGGGCUCAUCCCAGAAAAACCUCUUCACAUCUUUGAAGAAUUUCGUUCUUGCAUACCCAACAAGCUUCAGCGGUUCCUUCCCGCAAGCCAAAUAGUUUACCAAGUCUGCGUACCAAGGCUCUCUCUCAUCAGUAGCCUUUACCUCCUCAAGUUUCCUACCAGUCCCACAGACAUCAACCAUCGCUAUUAUUGCCAUGAUCUGUUCCUCAAGGAGUCCCUCAUCAAUAGGGAGCUCAUCCUCGAUUCUUAAUCGAGAUAAAUGGUCAGCCACUCCAUUUUCAACCCCUGGUUUGUCCUUAAUCUCCAUAUCAAAUUCUUGUAGCAAUAAAAUCCACCUUAGAAGUCUUGGUUUGGCAUAUUUCUUGGCCAAGAGAUGUCUUAGUGCUGCCUAGUCAGUGUAGACGAUCACUUUAGAGCCAACCAGAUAUCUUCUACACUUCUCAAAAGCGAAGACUAUCGCUAGGAGCUCUUUUUCAGUGGUGGCAUACUUCAUCUGAGUAUCAUCCAGCAUCCUACUUGCGUAGUAGAUUACUUGAGUCUUUUUAUCCUUCUUAUGCCCUAACACUGCUCCUACUGCAUAGUCGCUCGCAUCGCACAUGAUCUCAAAAGGUAGAUCCCAGUCAGGUGGUUGUACAAUGGGAGGAGCACUGAUCAGUUCAUUCUUCAGCCUUUCAAAUGCCCUCAAGCAUUCUUCAUCAAAGACAAAGGCAAUUUCUUUGCACAUCAACUUAGUCAAUGGACGGGCUAUCUUUAAAGAGUCUUUGACGAAUCUUCUGUAGAAACUGGCAUGACCGAGAAAACUCCUUAUCCCUUUCACUGAAGUAGGCGGCUGUAACCCAACCAUGGCAUUGAUCUUAGCUUGAUGAACCUCUAUGUCCUUCUCGGAAAUCUUGUGUCCCAAAAAAAUUUCUUCAUUCACCAUAAAAUGGCACUUCUCCCAGUUGAGCACGAGGUUGACAUCUUCGCAUCUCUGUAAAAUCCUGCAUAGAUUGGACAAACACGAGGCAAACGAAGAACCAUACACAGAAAAAUCGUCCAUAAAGACCUCCACUACAUCCUCAAUCAGGCCAGAGAAAAUCGACAUCAUUGCUCGUUGAAAUGUUGCUGGUGCAUUGCACAGCCCGAAUGGCAUCCUUCGAUAUGCGAAGGUACCAUAUGGGCAAGUGAAUGUUGUUUUCUCUUGGUCAUUAGGAUGUAUGGGGAUUUGGAAAAAUCCUGAGUAUCCAUCAAGGAAGCAAUAUAAUGGAUGAUUUGCAAGGAGCUUAAGCAUUUGAUCUAUAAAUGGUAAAGGAAAAUGGUCUUUCCUAGAUGCAGAGUUCAACUUUCUAUAGUCAAUGCACAUCCUAUGUCCUGUGAUUGUUCUAGUAGGAAUCAGUUCAUCUUUGUCAUUUUUAACAACAGUGAUACCUCCUUUUUUUGGGCACAACAUGGACAGGAGACACCCAAGAACUAUCAGAGAUAGGAUAGAUCACCCCAGCAUCUAAGAGCUUAAGAAUCUCUUUCUUGACUACAUCUUUCAGGUUGGGGUUCAACCGUCUUUGAUGCUCGACAGAAGUCAUUGAUUCAUCCUCAAGAUGUAUCCGAUGCAUGCACAAGGAAGGAUAUAUUCCUUUAAUGUCAUCUAAAGAAUACCCAAUUGUCUUUCUAUACUUUUUCAGUUCAGUUAAAAGCUCAGACGAUUCAUUCUCAUCAAGAUCAUUGUUGACAAUCAAUGGAUAAGUUUUAUUAGGAGUUAUGUGAUUGUUUGAGAUAGAUACAGAGACGGAUUUCUGUAUGCCGGAUUGUAUGGAGGUUACGUUCAGCUAUAGUCGACCGGUUGAUGCGUAACCCAUGAGGUUGAUAAAUCAUCUACGGGUGUGUGUUACCGAGCACUUGUUCGGUGUGUGUAUGAACCGAGCACAUUUUUGGUGGUGUUUUUGGCAUGUUAGUGGGCAGCGAGUGUGCACCUUGCUAGGACUAUUGGUUUAUCUCUGGGUACUUUAGGUACCGUUUUGGUAACGUGUUAGAAUUAAAUUAUAUUUAUUCGGAGUGCUCCGUCCGGAUCCAUGAACUUCGGGUUUAGUAUUCAUACUUCACUGGGUAACUUCCCCGUUACUCACCCCUCAUUUGCCCCCUUGCAGGUGAGACUGACGAGUAGGAGAUUGAUCAGACAGCUGGUGUUUUUAGGCGUUUUCCUUUAUUUUAUUUCUCAGACUUAUAUUUAUUAAUUCGACGAUUAUUUCAGUUAUUUCGACUAUGAGAUUUCUGGAUUUAUUUUGCUAUUUAUAUGAAAGUCGACUUUCAAACUUUUUUACGGAUUUUAUGAUGUAAGUUGUUGAUUGGUAACACGCUGGUCUCGAGAGUUGUUAAAGGGUGAGGUUUGGAUUCGAGUAAAGUCAAGCGUAUCAAUAACUUACCGGUGGAUGUGAAGGCAGUUCCUCCCACAGUGAGGGGUUAGGGUCGAUGCGCUGCCGUGCUGUGAAUCUGAGGCCCACGGGGCAGAUAGUUCCCACGGGGCGGGUUGUCACCCUUUUCUAAACAUAUCUAGUGAAUAAAAUCUACUUGUAUCUUUUUCUUGUUGAUUCAUUUUCUUACAAAGUUUUAUCCUUAAUCUAAAGAAAGAUCAACGAAUGUAGCCGCAUUCCCAUCGUUUUCGAAGACAACGUCUGAAUCAGUUGAAUUUAUCCUAGUGUUCAUCCUUGGACCAAAUCCAUAAGUUUGCUUUUGUUCUAGUCAUUAGGUACUAGUCUUAAUUAGUGGUGCACAUAAGAUAUUAGUAUUCUUUUUCUUCCAAAGGGAAAUUAGUAUUCUAAUGUUUACUAUUUUUUAAGAGUUACAUAAACUCCAAAUCCACAUUCUUCUCCGGCGCAAUAGUUUACAAUUUUAGGGAACUUGGUGGACCUGAUUUUGGCAUAUUUACAACUGGCCAAUAUUGAAAAUUCCAAGGAGGCUGAAAAGAAAGAGAACUUUACCCCCUCAUCAUUUUACUCUAUGACUUUCUGUUUGCUUUUGUUUUUCGGCAUUAUUUUUAUUUUCUGUUGGGAUAACUUUUUUUUUCUUUUUUUGUGCACUUUCCGUCGAAAUAACAAAAAAAAGUGAGUCCCAUGUUAUUUUUUGAAAAGUAAGUGAAUACCAUAUUAACUCAAAUCAAAUAAUUGGAUCAUUGUGUUAGAAUGUAUAUAUUGAAGUUUUGACCAAUAUACUUUUAUUAGAAUAUUUCUUUAAAGAUUGCAUAUAAUAAUCUAUACUAUUAAAGCAGAAUCCUAUCUAUUUUUAACCCAUAACUUACCCUUUUAUUUAAUGAAUAUGCCACUGCUUUACAAAGGAAAUGACCAGCUUCAUUAAGGGCAAUACAUGUAUUAAACACCACGAUUUUUAACUACCGAUCAGUUGGGUCUUAUGUAUUUUUAAGAGUAUCUGAAUAAUUCAUAAAAGCCCAAUCGGCCCCCACCAGUCAGAAGUCCACAAAAGUACAAUCUGUCUAAAUAUACCUUCUAAAGUACGUUAACCCAUCAAACUUUAUAUUAUUAUUACUUCUAUACUAAAUAUUAUAUACUAUAUAUUAAGUGAACUAUAAUAUAAGUGAGUAGUUGCACAAAAAAAAAAAUAUAAGCGAGUCAGUGUCAAUCCGCAAAAGUUGAAACUAAACCCCAAAAUACAUUAACUGAACCAUAUACAUAUGGCUACUUAUACUUUACGGUUUGUUUAUUAUAUCCUAAACCCUGAAAUACAAUACAUAACCCCUAAACUCAUUUUUUUUUGAUCAAAUCCCUAAACUCAUUUUAUUUCAUUUACUAUAUAGUGUUUUAUUUUGUUAAUAGCGAAAAAAUGUGGUGUUACAAAUCCGGGAUAUUUUAAAAAUGAAAUAUUCAAUGGUAUAUUGUGAAUUAGAUACAAUCUGUCUUACAAUAAUAUUCAAUGGUAUAUUCUUCAUUUUAUAGAAUCUGUUUUACACUCCAAUCUGUUUUACAAUUCCAAUAAUCACGAUUUUAUAUUGUAAAAUAAAUGUGGAUUUUGUGGAUUCCUAAGUAUAUUCCAUUAUUUGUUAUUCGUUUGACAAAUCGUUAUAAAAUGAUUUCCUAAUUUUUAUGAAAAAAAACAAUGUAAUCGAGAUAUGCUUAGUAGUGUGGAAUAGGCAUAUGUAUGUAAUUAACUAUAUCGUAUAGCUUGACCAUCAAGUAUGGAUGGAUGGACGGCGAGAUGGCUUUCGAACGGAGGAAAGGAAGUGCUGAUCAAAUCUAUUUUGUUAGUUUUUCCGACUUAUGUUAUGUCCACAUUUUUGUUUCUUUUGGAAAUAUGCGAAAACCUAGAAAGUGCCAUUGCACAAUUUUUGUGGAGUUCGAAUCCAUCGAAGAGAGGAAUUCAUUGGACAAAACGGGAAAAGAUAUAUUACCACGAGAGGAGGGUGAGAUUGGCUUUCGUAUGAUCCAUGAGUUCAACCUAGCUCUAUUAGCAAAACAACUAUGGAGGUUAGUCCGAUAUCCGGAUUCACUGGUGGCUAGAGUAUUGAAGGGAAGAUACUAUAGGAUGAACUCGCCUUUGCUUUCUCUUUAUGUAAAUAGUCCCUCGUAUGUGUGGAUCAGUAUCUCAGCAGCUAGAGAAAUAUUGCUUUUGGGUAUUAGAAAAAAGAUACAUUCAGGAUAUGAAGUUAAGGUCUGGGAGGAUCUUUGGAUCCCUACGACACCAGCCAGACAUGCUCGCCCCUUAGCACCAGUUCUUAACCCGAACAUGAUAGUCAGCGAUUUUAUAAACCAGGAUACAAAGGAAUGGGAUGUUGGCCUACUGCAAAAUUAUGUGCACCCUGAAGACAUACAUCUCAUAAGGAGUAUGGCCAUAAGCUCGGCUCAUCGCUGCGACACAUUCUGUUGGAGCUACACGAAGAGUGGUAUCUACACGGUUAAAUCAGGAUAUUGGGUAGCUAGCAAUUUGAUGCAACCUGAGGAAGAGAAAGAGAUACUAGAACCCAGUAUAACAAAGCUACAUGCUUUUGGUUGGAAGAUAAAAGCUCCACAAAAAAUUCGACAUCUCAUAUGGCAAUUGAUAACAUGCCAUGUGGCAGUAACGAAAAACUUGACAAGGCGAAACAUGAGAUGCGACAAUUACUGUCCAAGAUGUGGGGAACAAGAAGAAUCUGUCAUUUAUGCAAUCUUUGAUUGCCCACCAGCCCUACAAGUUUGGACCAUAUCCUCGACGCUAACAAGUACAACUAUCUUCCCAGUAUCAAGUGUCUAUGCUAAUAUGGACUAUCUCUUCUGGAGAAAGGACAACAUUGUUCAUCCAGACUCUGAUAGGGACCCUUAUCCCUGGAUAAUCUGGUAUAUUUGAAAACCCAGGAAUGAUACACUUUUUAGGGGAAUUGAUCGAGAUCCUUUGGAGCUAGUUCGAUACGCAGAGAGCGAGUGUCAAGCCUGGUUCAAUGCAAAUGAUAUGGUGCCAUCACCUCAACAAGAACUUAGUAAUGUUCAACCUCAAGUCUUAAGCUUGGGUAAUAUAUGUAUGUGAUGUUAGGAGUUUUCAAGGCUCCUAAGACAAAUGUUGUAGUAUAAAUGAUUAUCGAACCAGUUCUGAGAGAUAUCAAAGCACCGAGAAUGCAAGUAAUCACUUAAUCUAAGUGCAACCAAUGAUUUAGAUGGGUUUUUAAACAAUGACUAAUUAAAAGAAAUAACUAAAUGAUACUUUCUUAACUAUUGGAAAAGAGAACUCAUGGAUAUAGGGAUUAGACCUCGGGUGAUCAAGUUUCGAACUAAGGAUGGCAAACGAUCAAUCAAUCUAAAUAACCUUAAGCUUGGACACAAUCCUAAACAAACUCUAUGUCUAGAUGAAUGUUCAUUUACUAACACAAUCCAAACAUCAAAUGUCUUUGGUUGAAUAGUAUGAAAGCAAUCAUAACUAGCAAGUCCAAUGGCUAUCUUAGCACCUCUAACAACAAAUGUCUUUGGUAAAGUAUGCUAAAAGCUUAGAAGAGUUGUCUCGGGCAUUUCCUCGAACACCUUUCGGGUGGGAAAUGCCUAAGGAUCAACUACUGAGUGGCCAACUCAAAAGAUGCACUAUGUUCACUCUACUAGCAAGGAAAUAUGAAUGAUCUACACUAAAACAUCCUAGUUCUAACCUAAACACCCUUAAUCUCCCUAACCCAUGAAUUCAAAAGGUGAUUACUCACUAAUCUCCAUGAUUCCUCUUAAACCCAUGUUGGAUUUCAGAUUAAUCAUGUAGAGAAAAACAGAAAAUAGAUAAGAACACAGAAUUUCAAUAAUAAACUGAUCAAUUGAUUCAAAGAGAUGACUUUCCAAAGGUUUUUGGUGGUUUUUUCUAAGAACAAAGAUGAUCCUCCUCUUGGUGGCUCUUAGAGUAUUAAAACAUAGGUUUAGAAAAUAAAAACGUGCAUAAUGAAAUGACCAAAAGGCCCUUGAGAAAUCACAAGUUCGAGCAAAAAUAAAACGCGCAGCGACCUCAGCCCGUCGCUCCGAUAAGUCGCUCCAGGCUUCGGGAGCGACCUCGCUGUGUCGCUGCGAGAGGUCGCUCCGGGCUCGUUCUCGCGUCUCCGAGUGAUGAAAAUGCGAGCGACUUCUCCCUGUCGCUCUGGUAAGGUCGCUCCAGGCUUCGGGAGCGACCUCGCUGUGUCGCUGCGAGAGGUCGCUGCGAGAGGUCGUUCCGGGCUCGUUCUCGCGUCUCCGAGUGAUGAAAACGCGAGCGACUUCUCCCUGUCGCUCUGGUAAGGUCGCUCUGAUAGGGAGAUCAGAGCGACUUGGUGGUGUCGCUCUGGACUGGUCGCUCCCAUGCCUUGCUCGCCCAAUGACCACUCUAAACACUUCUUUUGAGCUCCAAAUGCACCCAAAUGUCUCCAAGAACUCCAUGUGGUACUCCAAUACCUGAUAAAGACUCAUGUAUGCAAAAUGUAACCUAAACAUGGCUAAGUCCUAAUCUAUAUGAUCAAAAUGCACAUGGGUGAAUGGAUAAAACAAUAGAAUUAUGCAAGAUAUCAACUCCCCCAAACUUGUUCUUUACUUGUCCACAAGUGAACUUUCUAGAACUCAUAGGGAGAGAGGUUGAAGGUGGGAGCUCAUAGCCAAAAGAAACACAACUAGCAAACACAAUUAGCACAGUCUCUUAUUACACUCUAGCUUCUCUAGGCCUAUCUCAACUCCUUUUGUCCCUACACUCAUCAUCAAGCAUCCACACAUUCAAAUCAACCAACUCUCACAUUCAUUAAGCAUAAGAUAUCAAGUGAAUUCUUGCAAAUGGUCAAUUGGUCCGAAUCAUUUGGUUGAGUAAAGGGAAGGCUUUUAGUCUAGUGAGUCAAAAGGUUCAAAAUCCAUGAUCUUUUUUUAAAAGUGGUUUACUCUCAAAACAAGUAGCCUUGACAUUGCACAUAAUAUAUCUAAGAAAGGGACCAACUCAUGCAUACAAUGCUCAAUCUCCAUUGUUCUACCCUUUUCCCAAACAUAUAAGUUACACAUUCACUCUCCAAUGUCAAACCCAACUCACACCUCUCACCAAAAGAUUCUAAAAACAUCAGCUCUUUUUCCUUGAAAUCUAUAAGGGAUUUUUCACAACCUCAAAAUGUCUCUUAGCUCCUAACAACUUUGCUAGCCCCUUUUUUUUUUUUUUUUUUUUUCUUUUUCGAUUUCUUUUUUUUUUUUUUAGGUUGGGGGCCAAGACUUUUCAAAACUAGAGCUGGAGGUUCUCUACUUAUCCCAAUAAAUCAAUUCACUUAAGCACAAAGAGUCUAUCCUUUUUAUUUCUCCCAAAUCAUGAUCACAACACUCACCCUCCCACCUAUAGCUAGACAAUAGAGUGUCCAAUCUAGCGAAAAUAAAGAUCAAGCAUUGUCGUUCCCGAUACUCUCAACAUUAUGCACAUGUAAGACUUUCCAAAGAAGGCCUCACUCAUCAAACAAUGACAGCUUAAAAGGAAGGAAAGGUUUUGGGAGUGGUCUACCACUAGAGUUUGUCAAAAAGAAUGGCAUAAAAGAUGUGACAACUCAAGUGUGUAUAGCCAUGACUCAGUACACAAUAGACCCUAAGCAAGAAGCAUUAAGUUCAUUCAGUUCAAAUAAGGUUGUAGUUGGCUUCAAAGACUGAGUUUCAACAAUCAACAAGUUUCAAAAAGAGUUUUCAAGGCUCGAAACAUACAAGUCUUUUCGAGAGGUGCAUGGCUACUCAGGUGCAACGUAGUGUUUUUUUUUUAAUGCAAAUAGGUGUGCAAUGCAUGACUCCAUGAAACACAAUCAAAGCAAACAUGAUCAAAUGCUUGGUACCUC
rnacentral:lncRNA from 1 species